rnacentral:ncRNA from 1 species
CCAUCCCUCCGCAGCUAGCUUCUUAGAGGGACUAUCGCCGUUUAGGCGACGGAAGUUUGAGGCAAUAACAGGUCUGUGAUGCCUGUAGAUGUUCUGGGCCGCACGCGCGCUACACUGAUGUAUUCAACGAGUAUAUAGCCUUGGCCGACAGGCCCGGGUAAUCUUGGGAAAUUUCAUCGUGAUGGGGAUAGAUCAUUGCAAU